UUCAGAACCGCAUUUCAUUUCAUUUCAUUUCUUCUGCUGCAACGGACGGCUAGCAGCUGCAAGGGACAACCGAAGCUUCACCAUUUCUUUCUUCCAAAACUCAUCCAAAUCCUUACCAAAACUUCCCUAGAUUCUCACCAAACUUCACAUUCAUUUAGCUUUUCACUUGGACAACAACUUAGCUGCAAAAGGAAGGAGCUAUCCACGGUUUCUUCAAGCUUCAAAGGGCCGAAAAAUCUGUCCUAACCAGCCAUCAAAGUAGGCACGCACGAGCGACCUCCAAGAGGACCCUACCGUGGAAGUUUGAACUCUCCCUCCAACCUACUUGCUUGCAUAACUGGUUUGAACUCGGAGGUAAAAUGGAGAAGCCCUCUUGAUGUACUUUUGUUUAGGGCUUGUUAUUACUUUUGGUUAUGCCUUUGGUUUUGGAAUUGUACUUUUGGUAUGGAAAUGUGACCUGAGAACUGUCACUGUUGGUAUCAGAGCCAUAUGCCGACAAUUGGGACUUAAGUCCUUCGUCUGGAAAAG